rnacentral:rRNA from 1 species
UACAGAGGUGGCAAGCGUUGCUCGGAAUCACUGGGCUUAAAGGGCGCGUAGGCGGGCUCGCAAGUCCGGGGUGAAAGCCCCCAGCUCAACUGGGGAAGUGCCUUGGAUACUGCGGGCCUCGAGGGAGGUAGGGGCGUGCGGAACUUCCGGUGGAGCGGUGAAAUGUGUUGAUAUCGGAAGGAACGCCGGUGGCGAAAGCGGCACACUGGAUCUCAACUGACGCUGAGGCACGAAAGCCAGGGGAGCGAACGGG